rnacentral:rRNA from 1 species
UACGGGGGGGGCAAGCGUUGUUCGGAAUUACUGGGCGUAAAGGGCGAGUAGGCGGCCUUCUAAGUCAGACGUGAAAUCCCCCGGCUUAACCUGGGAACUGCGUCUGAUAGUGGGAGGCUAGAGUAUGGGAGAGGGAUGUGGAAUUCCAGGUGUAGCGGUGAAAUGCGUAGAUAUCUGGAGGAACACCGGUGGCGAAGGCGGCAUCCUGGACCGGCAUUGACGCUGAGGAGCGAAAGCCAGGGGAGCAAACGGG